AGGGCUCAACCUUGGAAUUGCCUUUGAUACUGCCAGUCUUGAGUUCAGGAGAGGUAAGCGGAAUUCCGAGUGUAGAGGUGAAAUUCGUAGAUAUUUGGAGGAACACCAGUGGCGAAGGCGGCUCACUGGCUCGAUACUGACGCUGAGGUGCGAAAGUGUGGGGAGCAAACAGGAUUAGAUACCCUGGUAGUCCACACCGUAAACGAUGAAUGCCAGUCGUCGGGUAGCAUGCUGCUCGGUGACACACCUAACGGAUUAAGCAUUCCGCCUGGGGAGUACGGUCGCAA
rnacentral:rRNA from 15 species